CAGAGAGCCACGAUGGAGAAAAGCAGCCCCAGCCCGGGGUCGGAGCUGGGUGAACACGCACAGAUCUGAUCUCUAUCGCACCAGAGCUCCCAAGUUCACAGGUGCUGCUUCGGCUGGUUCCUUCUUAUACAGUUCCUGGGCAGAGUCCGAAUUAAUUCUAUUCUUCUCCUGAAGCUGGCUGCACA